rnacentral:rRNA from 1 species
UGACCUCGAAUCAUGUACAGAUACCCGCUGAACUUAAUCAUAUC